AACGAACGCUGGCGGCAUGCCUAACACAUGCAAGUCGAACGAUUGCCUUCGGGUGAUAGUGGCGCACGGGUGCGUAACGCGUGGGGAUCUGCCCUUAGGUUCGGAAUAACAGCUGGAAACGGCUGCUAAUACCGGAUGAUAUCGCGAGAUCAAAGAUUUAUCGCCUGAGGAUGAGCCCGCGUUGGAUUAGGUAGUUGGUGGGGUAAAGGCCUACCAAGCCGACGAUCCAUAGCUGGUCUGAGAGGAUGAUCAGCCACACUGGGACUGAGACACGGCCCAGACUCCUACGGGAGGCAGCAGUGGGGAAUAUUGGACAAUGGGCGCAAGCCUGAUCCAGCAAUGCCGCGUGAGUGAUGAAGGCCCUAGGGUUGUAAAGCUCUUUUACCCGGGAAGAUAAUGACUGUACCGGGAGAAUAAGCCCCGGCUAACUCCGUG
rnacentral:rRNA from 1 species